CCCAGUGGAAACUGUAGUGUAACUAAUGACCGGCCCACUGGACGUUUUAAUUGCUGUCUCAUUUCUGCUGGAGCCUGGCUUAUUCUGCAUCUGAGAUAUUUAUAAUCUGAACAUGCUGGAGUUAUGACAUCAUCCGGCACUGCUGACUAUGACAAGCGUUUGGGGAAGCAUGCAAACCAUUCUGUCAUGGGGACAAUGGGUUGUCAGAAGACUUGCAAGAUGGAGAAACUCCUGAAACAGUCGCAGUGGGAAGUAGCGUGGAGCCAGAGACAACGGUUAGUCACAGCAAAGAAGAACAGCCGGAUUAGAGGCACAGAUAAGCUGAGAAAUGAAGUUUUGCCCCUCCAGCUCCCAGGUGUGCAGCGUUUGGACAGUUUUUGUCUUCUAAAGGACAACAGUGGAGCUCUAAGACUCAACCCUGAGACCCCGAGCCACCAAAGGCAAAAGCAGAAGUUACUGGAGACUGAGAUCAGCACCAGAAGAAAGGAGUGUGAAGCACUUGAAGCGGAGGUGAAGAAAAAGAAUCAAACAUGUCAGACUUUGGAGAAUGAGCUUCAAGAUUUCCUCCAGGAGAACAAACAUUUGAACCUCCAGUUCUUCAACAAUAGCCACAAGACAUCUGAGUAUGAGAAGGUGAAGUCUGAGUAUGCCCAGCUCAAAGAGACCCUUGGUGCUGUGACGCAGGAGAGAGAUUUAGCCCUGUGGGAGAGGAACCAGCUCCAAGGCAAACUGGAGAACCUAGAGCAGGUGCUCAAGCAUAUGCGCGAGGCUGCAGAGCGGAGGCAGCAGCUAGAGUUGGAGCAUGAGCAGGCCUUGGCUGUACUCAAUGCCAAGCAGCAGGAGAUUGAAGUUCUUCAGAAGGCUCAGGUUGAGGCAAAAAAGGAACAUGAAGGCGCUGUCCAUCUGUUAGAGAACCACUUGGACAGCAUGCAGGCCAAAGUCCGCGAGCUGGAGGAAAAAUGUCGGUCUCAGAGUGAGCAGUUCAACCUCCUGUCAAAAGAGCUGGAGAAGUUCCGGCUCCAGGCUGGGAAGUUUGAUAUCCUCAGCACUGAACCCCUAACUCUAUGUGAAUCUCCUGGGUCGCCCAACAAAUCCCUCUCACAGCUCCUUAAUGGACUGGCUGCCCCCAUAGGAAAAGGCAAUGAGGCUCCAACAAGCAGAUCUUUGAUAUCUGAGUUCAUUCGACCACUCCAGAUCAGUGGAGACAAGCCUGAGCUCCUCUCUGUCAAGCCAACAUUCCUCACUCGCGGCCGAGUCAGCAGCCCAGCACGGGCUUCCCACUCGGAGAUGGACAAAGAGCUCAGCUCAACUACCAGGUCCAAACUGAGGUUUACGGGGAAGGUUCGUCUGUGUAUUGCUCGGUACAGUUACAAUCCUUAUGACGGGCCUAAUGAGCAUCCUGAGGCAGAGCUGCCCCUGGUGGCAGGGAAGUACCUCUACGUUUAUGGGACGAUGGAUGAGGAUGGCUUUUACGAAGGAGAGCUGCUAGAUGGACAGCGGGGACUCGUCCCAUCCAAUUUUGUGGAAUUUGUCCAAGAUGCGGAGACACCCUCUGCCCAACACAGGGACACAGUGGCUAAAGAACCUGGCUACCUCAACCACAGUAGCCUGGGGCCUCAGAGACUGAAAUUCGGCACAGGAACGGGAACGAGCAUAAGCAGCCUGCUGUCGGACAGUAAACUAGACUGUCUAAGCACCAGCAGCUUGGGCAUGGACCUCCUGGGCUCCUCCAGCAACGGGACAGGAACCUUGGAUGUCAGCACUGACGAGGUCGGUGAAGACAUUGUGCCUUAUCCCCGCCGCAUCAACCUGAUUAAACAACUGGCCAAGAGUGUGAUUAUUGGCUGGGAUCCUCCCGUGGUCCCACCGGGCUGGGGCUCCAUCAGUGGCUACAAUGUCUUGGUGGAUAAGGAGGUGCGCAUGAGUGUCCCCUACGGGGGCAGGACAAAGUCUCUUCUUGAAAAGCUCAAUCUGGCCACCAACACCUACCGCAUCUCAGUGCAGAGCAUCACCGACCGGGGCCCGUCGGACGAGCUCCGGUGCACUCUGCUCGUAGGAAAGGAUGUGGUGGUGGCACCUUACUACCUGCGGGUGGACAGCAUCACGCAGGUCUCUGCUGAGCUCUCUUGGAUGCCCAGCAACAGCAACUACAGUCACACCAUCUUCCUCAAUGGUGCAGAGUACGACAUGGUCAAGGCGGGGGGCUAUAAAUACAAGUUCUUCAACCUGAAGUCCAUGACAGUUUACAAGGUGAAGGUUGUGGCGCAGCCACAUCAGGUGCCUUGGCAGCUUCCGAUGGGUCAAAGGGACAAGAGGGAAAUCUCUGUGGAGUUCUGCACUCAGCCUGCAGUGUGUGUGUUGUGCUCCUCAGGGCCCCCUCUCCCUCCCCAGGAGGUGCAGGUCCAGUGUGGUCAGACGCCGGGGGUCCUGCAGGUCAGAUGGAAGCCGCCGCCUCUGACGUCUUCAGGAACCUCCAACGGUGCCAGUGUGAUUGGCUAUGCCGUGUGCACAAAGGGACAAAAGAUAGCAGAGGUAUUAUACCCCACAGCAGACUAUACGACUGUGGAGUUAAACAGGAUCCAGUGUCUGGAGGCCAGGGAACUCAUUGUAAGGACGUUAUCAACACAAGGAGAGUCCCAGGACUCGCCCGUGGCCGUCAUCCCGCACAAUCUCUUGGGCUCUCCACGCCUCUCCCACCGAACCAUUGCACCAUCCCACACUAUGGCGCUCCCGCAGUCCCAUCCGGCACACUCACAAACCCAUCCUCCUUAUCCGUCGACGUACCCCCUGAAUCAUCCUCAGCCCCAGGUGCAGCCUCUGCCUCGAACCCAGCCCCACACGCUGCCCCACGCACAGCCGCACUCGCAGCCCGUCUGCCAACCCCCUUCUCAUCCCCAGCCUCAUUUCCAGUGCCACCCCAUGCCCAAGUCCAAACCGUUAGUAAGUGCCAGAGAGCCCGAAACCAAAGAGCAUGAGGUGGGAUUGCGCACAGCCCAGCCCUGGGAGCGAUCCCCCUCGCCGCUGCCUCCCAUGCGUGGACCCAACCUGGAGCCGCCGCACUUCCAGCCACGGCGAUCGCCCUCUCCUCAGAGGAUCCUGCCACAGCCUCAGGGAGUCCCCAUCCCCAACACCAUCGCCAAGGCCAUGGCCAGGGAAGCUGCCCAGAGAGUGUUUGCCGAGGGCAACCAGGUUGAGAAAAGGAACAUCUUUAGUGAGCGAGGUAACGCCUUGCAUCCACUCAACUCUGACGAGGAGGAGGAUGGCUACGUCUCACCUCAUGCGAGGAGAAGAGGAGCCUCGGUGGAUGAAUUCCUCAGAGGCUCAGAGUUGGGCAGACAGCACCAUCAUCCCCACUACAGCCACAGUGAGGAGUACCACACGGAGAGUAGCCGGGGUUCGGACCUGUCCGACAUAAUGGAGGAAGAUGAGGAAGAUCUUUACUCUGAGAUGCAACUGGAGGAGGGCCGUAGGCGCAGUAUCAACUCUCACAACACUCUUAAGGCAUAUUACAAGCGUCAGGACUUAGCCGAGGAAAGGGACUGCUGGGACCUCCAGAGGGAGGUGGUGAAGCAGAGGUCGCUCCGCAGCAAGCGCCUCCACAGCAUCCCCGAGGUGGCCGAGGAAGACUCGGACUGCGUGGACAGCAUGGGCCAGCGACUGUGUUUCGAAGAGGACAGCCGGCCGGGAACGCCACACACUCAGCGGAGGAUGUACCCCCAGGACACCCGCGUGCACGACCGUCACGCCCCUGGCAAGAACUCCCGCUACCUGCAGCGUCAGCGCUCCUCCCCUCGCUUCACUGACAGCCGCUACUGCUACAACGCGGACGACCGCAGCUUGGUACGACCCAACCGCCAGAGCACCAAGAGUCCCGACAGCGGCUUAGACUGUGGCAGUGAGGAAGAAGGCUCUCUAGGCCGGGGUUAUCGAGGGUACUAUACUCACGGUAGCCCCAUGCGGGGGCCCGUGCAGGUCAUUCACUGUGAAGGCCCCGUAGAAAGGCGGGCGCUGGCUAUGGGCCGUAAAAGAACUCUGACCCGCCAGUGCAGCGUAGAGGAGGAGUUCUCUGACAUCCCACGGACUGCAGCCAAGUCGGUACACACAGGCGACUUUAGGAACAGGGAGCACUUUGGGCCCGGUCGGGAGGCCGGUCAGCGAAACUACCCCAGGGAAGGGGCCCUGAGCGAGGGCAGGCUCAACGAGCUGGACAGGGUCUAUUACAGCCCCCACAGGGAGGCUAGGGCCCAGUCUUUGGCCAGGCUCAACCGGGACCAGCUGCUGAUCAUUGGGAACUCAGCAUCACAUGGGAGCGCUGAUCGCCUGGAGCACUCAGGGAGGAGGCCGGUUCACAUCGGCAACCCCCCUCAGCAGCGGCCCAUCCCAUCCAUUGAGAUCACCAUGGACAGUAACAGUGAGGGGAGUGAGGGGAACCUCUCACCCGUCAAGGAGGAUGUUUACUAUGGCAGUGUAGCUCGGCGAAGGAUAUGGCGAUCUAUGUCCUCAGAGGAUCAAUAUGACGGCUAUGGCGGGCGCAGUCACGGGCGGGGACGGCGCUCCCCGGACUACUUUGAGGAGUCUGAGCCGGAGGAGAUGACCCGUGUGUUCGUGGCUCUGUUCGACUACGACCCCAUGUCCAUGUCGCCCAACCCCGACGCUGCUGAUGAGGAGCUGCCAUUCAAGGAGGGCCAGAUCAUCAAGGUCUUUGGGAAUAAAGACACAGACGGCUUCUACAGGGCGGAGGUCCGAGACCGCGUGGGUCUGAUCCCCUGUAACAUGGUCUCUGAGAUCCAAACGGAGGACGACGACAUGAUGGACCAGCUCCUCAAACAGGGCUUCCUGCCACUCAACACUCCUGUGGAGAAGUUAGGUGAGACGUCAUUUUCCUUCAGGACCAAAUCACCUUCUUUUUUUUUAACUUUGCACCUAUACAUACAGUACCCUCUGUAUGUAUCUGACCAACUCAAUGCUUUACUAAUGCUUUUACUGACACAUUUCUCCUUUUCUAUGCUCUUCCCACUUAAUUAUGUUUUGUUUCUGCUUUCCUGUAAAGUGAACUGUGACCGUUUCAAAGAUGGCCGCUCAAUAAAUCGCAGGUCCAGAAAGUCCAAGAGAGAGAGGAACAGGCGGAGUGGCCGCCAACAUCCAAUGUCCACACGGAGGAUGGUGGCUCUGUACGACUAUGACCCCCGAGAGAGCUCCCCUAACGUUGAUGUAGAGUAUGAGGGCAACAGACUGAAUGAGGAGGCUGAACUGACUUUUUGUGCCGGUGACGUCAUCACAGUUUUUGGUGAAAUAGAUGAAGAUGGCUUUUACUAUGGCGAGCUCAAUGGACACAAGGGACUCGUUCCUUCCAACUUUCUAGAAGAAGUGCCUGAUGAUGUCGAGGUUUUUCUCACUGACUCACCAUCUCGAUACCCCCAGGACACUCGGGUGUCGGCUGCACGGAUAAAGACCAAAAGGAAGAAGAGUGUUCAUUUCACACCUUAAAGGCUCUGUUUCCGUCACGUAAGUGAGCAACUGAGGAUACCAAGAUUACGCUCCCCUCGUCUAAUGCAGAUGACAUGGGUACCCUUAGCUUCUGGUUCCAUUGGAAAAAUCGGGUCCGCCCAGAAGAGCAGGCUCUCCCACAGUGCGUCCACACAUCCCCGGCUCUGGCCCUGCCAACGUGGGGCCCGGCCGUCUCAUCAGGGCCCCACCGGACACGUACUCCUCCAAAAAGAAAAAGGGACUGCUCUCCAAAGGGAAGACACUAUUGCAAAGACUCGGCGCUGUAAAAUAAUUUCUUGACAUACUUGGAAAGUGUCAACCACAUCCUUGUAGUGUUAAAAAAGAAAAAAGAAAAGAUUUAACUAUAACGCAGUGGACAGGUGGCAUUUGUGAGCUUAGCAAAUGCUUUAUUCUUGUACAUCUGUUGUCUACUAGAAUAUUUGUAUUUUGUUAACGGUAUCAACUACAUAUUUUCAAUAACAUUUCAUAUUAUGAUCCCGAGACCUUGUGGUGUCGGCCGAUGUAGUAUCGAGCAUCUUACCUCCAAGUGUCUGACUGAUGUUCUGCUGUAGACGGAGACCAGGCCCGGGGCAUUCUCCUUGUUGCACCUGAUCAAGUCUGAUGGCACUUAAAACACCACAUGAGGAGUCUGACCGGCGUCUGUGUGUAACAGAAUGUCAUUCAAACACUGAGGGAUCAUCAAAUAAACCUCGGGAGUCCAUUUUGAAUCUGAAGGAAAAGACCGAGCCUGGUAACGACCUCGACCUGAGCUUAUUUUCAAAACAGCCAGCCAUAUGAACUGUACGAGAGGUUUGCAUGCUUUACUUCAGCACAUUCCCUCCUGACCCCUCGAGAGUGCAUGCAACAUGACGGCUCAGUACGGAACCUGGAGCAUGCAGUACCCUUUAAUUUGACGUGGCUGACUGGCUGCGCAGAAUACUGUAGUGUAGAGUUAACUCCUACUCAUCUGCCCUCUCUUAAUUGAGAGAGACAAGCCCCCCCCCACGUCAGACAUCUAAAAAAAUAAAUAAAUAAGCACAUACUGUACCUACUACAGGGUCUCUGCAUUAAAAUCAGCCUGAAUGGAAGUAGAUCCAACCUCCUUGUAUUUGCCUUAUAAUCGCACAAUGGUUAGUACUUUGCCCAGUAGAGCGUGCAGUUCCACGCCUACUAUUCAUUUAGGUCGGUAAAAUCUGUUUGCAGAUGUUAAUCCUGACUCGUGACGUGCAGGGUACUGUAUUGCGUGACUGUCGUGAUUUCAAUAGGACAAGAGCUUACACGUUACAGUCCAAGACUCCAGGUGUUGACAAUGUCCAUCAUCUAUAGUAAAGCCCAAUACAUUAUUUUUAAUCUUAGAAAACAAUGAAGAAAAAAAAAGUCAAAAUGUUCUCUGCAUACUAAUUUUUGAGGUUACUGAGUGAAUGAAGGGACUUUUCUUUUACGUUCACUGUUUUUUGAUGCCACACUGAUGCACAUCUGAUUUAAAACUAUAUUAAACUAUAUUACAUAAACAGGUUAAUCUGUGCGAUAUAGCUAUUGUAUUGCAUUUGAUUCAUAACAUGCAACACUUUUGGGCUUCACUAGAAGACUAAAAGGUUUGACCGUUUUCACAGUAGUUAAGAUUGAGACACAAGGCUACCUCUACGCUGCCUCCUCUGCCCUUCUAACCCCAAAUCUAUUAGAUCUGAAAAAUGUUUAUUCAAGCCAAUCGUGUUCAGCGUGUCCCGAGUUAGGUUGGUGCAGGAUACAAGUACUGUAGAUGAGAAUAUAUACACACACACACACACACACUCACACACUUUAACGUAGAGUAGUGAAUGUAUGAUGAAUUGAAAGCCAAUGUAUUGUCAAAGCUGCCCAAAAGGAUUGUGCAGAUGUCAGUCUUUGUGCGUGAAAUGAAACAGUCCACCUUUAUUUCCUCCACCAUUGUUUUCCAUUUCAUCAUGUAUUCGAAAAGCUAGCCUAUUUUUUCUAAACACAAGAGUUGAACUGAAACUGCCAAAAAAAGAAUGUAUGCAAAACAUUCUGUAAUACUUUCUGUACAAUUCUCGGCCGAACAGCCAUGUUAGCCCACAGUACAGUAAACUGAUUUACAUCGUUUCCUAUUUCUGGACCAUGUUUUCAGACAUCGCUUCUAUUCAUUUUGAGUGACUGUUGCUCUUUUUGUACUUUGUCCAUUUGUAAAAUUGUUUUUAAAUGUUUAUACUUGAUUUUCAAACUGCCUUUUUUGUACAUUUAACUUUAUAAUCAAAACAGUGCAAGCUUUCCCCAUGGUGUCUUGAAGACCAUAUUGUUUAAAAGUCUGCAAUUGUGUGCUAGCUUUAUAAGAAUUAUCAGCCUAUAUUGAUGGUUACAACUUAUUGUGUGGGUGUGCAUGUGCAAUCUUUUCUUAGAAAAAAAAAAAAAAAUAUUCCAAAUAAAUUUGAUAUUUUGUAAUUUUUGCAUGUGUGAUUUAACUCAACAAAAUGACAUGCCACACAAAUGUUUAUUAGAACCAUUUAACAGCAAUAACAGGACCUAGCUGUAGACCCAUAUGAACCUUACAACAGAAAUGUAACAUUUCAGCAUCCUUUUACUCCGCGCGCUGUGGAGGACAGUCAACUAAUCACCAGAAGACUCGCUUGUAUAAUUAACAGG